rnacentral:rRNA from 1 species
UCGUAGCAACUAAGAAUACUAGGCUUCGCAAGAAGUGUGCGAAGCGUAGCUUCGCUCGCACUGCUUUCCGUUAACCAGUGAGACGGUGGGGGAUAAGCUCCAUCGUCGAGAGGGAAACAGCCCAGAUCACCAGCUAAGGCCCCAAAAUGACCGCUAAGUGGCAAAGGAGGUGAGAAUGCUGAAACAACCAGGAGGUUUGCUUAGAAGCAGCCACCCUUUAAAGAGUGCGUAAUAGCUCACUGGUGGAGCGUUCUUGCGCCGAAAAUGAACGGGACUAAGCGGUCUGCCGAAGCUGUGGGUAAUAUCAUUAUCUUUUGAUUUGAUAUUACGGUAGGGGAGCGUUCCGCUCUAGGGUGAAGCUCCAACGUAAGUUGGUGUGGACAAAGCGGAAGUGAGAAUGUCGGCUUGAGUAACGAAAACAUUGGUGAGAAUCCAAUGCCCCGAAAACCUAAGGCUUCCUCCACUAGGCUCGUCCAUGGGGGGUGAGUCGGGACCUAAGGCCAGGCCGAAAGGCGUAGUCGAUGGAAAACAGGUUAAUAUUCCUGUACUAAUUUUUAAGUGGUACCGAGGGACGAAGGAGGGAACAGUUGGCCAAUAUUGGAUGUUGGCGGAAACGUUCGUGCGCAGCAACGCUGCGCACACUGCUCGCGCAGCAAGGUGAUGAGAGAUAGAAUAAAAACUAUUCUUGAGCUAAGGCGUGAUACGGUUUUAUUCAAUGUAUGAGAGCUUUGCUCAAAUUCAAAAUAAAACUCAAUUAGUUGUCAAACUUCCUAGAAAAGCUCGAACUUCCAAUACUUAAAAAUUACCCGUACCCGAAACCGACACAGGUAGGUAGGUAGAGUAUACCAAGGGGCGCGAGAUAACUCUCUCUAAGGAACUCGGCAAAAUGGCCC